AUGUCUACCAUCUACAUGAGCCAGCUCUCUACUGCUUUCCCUCUAAUGGAGGAAGACCAUCACCAGGAUCACCAUCAGGGGCACUUCCAGGCCUUCACCCUGCCCAAGGAUCCCCCGAUCUUGUUCCCUUUUGUGAUCAGCAGCAGCAGCCCUAGCGACAACAGCAGUACUCUCAGCUACGGAUCAGACCAGCACUUGAUGCAGCACCAUGCCAUGCUAGAUCAGCCCCAACAUAUGAUCGGUGGAUCGUCGAGUGUGUUCUCGACGCCGUUCCCGACCGUCGAGAGCAUCCGCGACGACAUGAUCGAGCGAUCCUACUCGUACGAUCCAUAUGAUAUGGAGAAGCUGCAGGACACCAGCGGAUCGCUCAAGAUCGGCAAGUGGACGGCGCCUGCUCCUGCAGCCAAGAUGAGGAUCACGAGGAAGACGAGCGAUCCUGGUGUCAAGAAGCCGAGGAAGAGGGCGCAGGCAUACGAGGAUCAUGGCCACAUGGGCGGCAUGAACCAAGCUCUGGGCGUUAUUAGGACAUGCUCUGAUUGCAACACCACCAAGACCCCCUUGUGGAGGAGUGGUCCUUGUGGCCCCAAGUCGCUUUGCAACGCAUGCGGCAUCAGGCAGCGGAAGGCGCGCCGGGCGAUGAUGGCCACCGGGGCGGCGCCCGUCACCGAUGUUGGUGCUGCCAAGGCGGCCGCGCCAGGUGACGCCGCCGUGACCGUGCACCCACCGAAGGUGAAGAAGGAGAAGCGAGCUGCCGACGUCGACCGGUCUCUGCCGUUCAAGAAACGGUGCAAGGUGGUCCAGGAUCACGCUGCCACAAACGCCGCUGCGCCCACCACCGUCGAGGCUGCCGCAGAGCCGCCGGUCGUCGUCACCACUACCACCACCACUGCUGCUACGCCGGCGAGGGAUCUCGUCGACACCAUCGGGGUCAACUGGAGCAAGAGCCCUACUGGCGCCCCUGCAGCUGCCUGCUUCCGGCCAUCGCCGGCGCCCUUCGCGGUGCCGGUGCCGGUGCAGGACGAGAUCACGGACGCCGCCAUGCUGCUGAUGACGCUGUCCUGCGAGCUUGUCCGGAGCUGA
rnacentral:rRNA from 1 species